CUGGACAGAGCAGGAGGAAAACAGGUGUUACUGGUUUAUCUCUCACACUGGAGAAGAUGAGUGAUUUAAAAGAUGAAGAAGAGGACAAGUCUCCAUUCUCCAGCUGUCUGUCUCUGAAGAGGGACCGGUCUAGAGAGGACCCUCCAGACUUCAGUGAUGAACCUGGACCCUCAGACACAAAACAGAGAGCAGGGUCUCCAGCCCCCAGCUGUCUGUCUCUGAAGAGGGACCGGUCUAUAGGGGAACCUCCAGACUUCAGUAAUGAACCUGGACCCUCAGACACAAA